GGCGGCCUUCUUCGUUGCACGCUUUUCCGAGGUAGCUCCCUUGAUCAGGCACUCAUGGCGAAGUUUUCCCAAGCAAAGCUGUUACCCAACACACGAACGAACCGGCGGAAACAUCUGUCAGCCAGAAAUAAAAAUCAUUCGACCGAAGUGGCCGGGCCCAGCAAGCGAUCGUUGGCCAUGAAGGAGAUCUGGCGAAAGAGAAAGCAGGCCUGGAUUCAAGCGGACCCUGGCAAAGCAACGCCUGCAGAGACCGCAACUUCAUCGAGUGAGCAGCAACGUGUAGGAUCAGCGUCACAGAGCCGCAAUUCUUCUCGGCACUACAACAGUAAAGGCAUUCACAUCGCCAGCAACCGGAACCUGUGCGAUUGCUUGAACUUGUCGUGUCCAGGGUGUCACUACCCCUGCCCCAAGUGUCGGUCACCAAAGUGCGGUCACAAGUGUCGCUGCUCUCGACAUUUUGUCUACGUGAAGAUAAAGGUUGAUGGUGCAAACGCAGUCAUCAAGAACCCGCUAUUGUGAUGUCCUCUUUUCGCCGCCUGCUCUGAAAGAACUGUGCAGCGCUUGACAUCCAGGGGGUCGUUUGUUUUCUUUUCAUCUUUCACGUGUAGAAAGUUCACAUGAAAUAAACAGUUUAAACAA